CCUAGGAAAUAGGGAAAAGACUGCAGGUGGAGAAAGUAGAAAUUUAAAUAAUCUUCUUCCACUGUUUAUCCUUAUUUAUUUGAACUAGAAAAAAUUUAUAGUACAUUAUUAUCAUAUAUUAUGUAUUAAUAUGUAAUUAUACUAAAUUAAUUUGAAUAAUAUAAUAUUAUCUAUAUAUAUAAAAGUCUAAGAGAUCAUUACAACCAGACAACUGUCUAGUAGCUAUGUUGUACACUAACCACCAGGGGGUAGACGCUCAAUGCAGGAGCUACCCCCUGAUGGUCAGUGUGCUCCCACAGCCAACCUCCUGCAGCCAGCCAACCACCCACAGCCCCUCCCA